GACAAGAAGGGGAUGAAAUGGGGAGACAGUGGGAAAACAGGGUGGUUAGAAAGGGAAGAGAAGCAUCCAAAGGGGUGCUGUCGGGAUGCUAGGAGGGGAUCCUCCCUCCUCUGUCUCUCCUGUUUGCCUUCCCAUCAUAUAGAAACUGAGUGUAUUAGAUAUUUUCUGCACUAAUUAAGUAUUUUCAUUUUCCAUUCUUAAUUUACAACGGAAUGAAUUGGAAUGAAAAUAUGCAUUUCAUUCACUCUUUUGGGAGCACAAUUCUAGGGAAUUUGUACUUGAACAAUCCUUCACUGCUCCAUAGCCACUGUGGAAUCACAGUUACCCAACUAUACAGCAGCAAUGGCCAAUUAUUGCCACAAGAGACUAUGAUGGAGCUGACUACACGGUAAUCAUGCCACUAGCGUCACAGCUAGAGUGGUUCUCCCUCCACAGACCCAAAAGGCUGAACUGGUGAACCUGCUGCAUCUGUGGGCAGAAUUAGGAUGAAAAGCACUACCUCUGUGAAAUACAAAAUCUCUGUGGAAGAAAAAUCAAUUCAGUUCUUGCAGUGAGCUUUCCGGACCACUGUCUUGUAUGUUUCCUAAGAAAAGCAAAAAGGGAAGAGAUUGAAGAGAAAGUAGAUUUUCAACUACAAACUUUCAUCCAUUUGCUUUCAGCUUAAGCAAAUGUGCGCAAAGUUGUCAUGGAUUUUUGCAGUCAAUAAAAACCAAGCAAGAAGACUGAAUCCCAAGUCAUCUGGUAUAAAUGGAAGCAGUUUCUGUGAUAGUUCCACGCGGUCAGAAGGGUCAUCCUGGCUUAGGAGAGGGGCAGAAGAGGAAAUGCACGCGUGGAAACAGGAGUGGGCAGGGAGGAUGUGACACUGUCCUCCUCACCAGGCCACGUUCCUGGCACCAACCAUAGUGUUUGGGCAGAUAAGAAAAGAAACAAUUUGCUGAAACUCCCUCUGCUUAUAACAAAACUGACUGAAAUCAGCCGGAAUCAAUAUGGCCAAAUGCAGUUUGCGCACAGCAAGCUUGCUGAUGUCACAGCCUGAAUUUCUACUGCAUGUUUCAUACCAACUCCCUCCAAAUUUGCACAUGGGACCCACCAGGAAGCAUGAAGAGAGAGCCAUGCAUGCCUGAAGACUUC
ensembl:lncRNA TEX26-AS1 TEX26 antisense RNA 1